AAAAAAGGUAAGCUACUAAGAGCGAAUGGUGGAUGCCUUGACUGGUAAAGGCGAUGAAGGACGUACUAGACUGCGAUAAGCUACGGGGAGCUGUCAAGAAGCUUUGAUCCGUAGAUUUCCGAAUGGGGCAACCCAAUGUAUAGAGAUAUGCAUUACCUAUAUAGGAGCGAACGAGGGGAAUUGAAACAUCUUAGUACCCUCAGGAAAAGAAAUCAAUAGAGAUUGCGUCAGUAGCGGCGAGCGAAAGCGCAAGAGGGCAAACCCAGUGCUUGCACUGGGGGUUGUAGGACUGCAAUGUGCAAGAGCUGAGUUUAGCAGAACAUUCUGGAAAGUAUAGCCAUAGAGGGUGAUAGUCCCGUAUGCGAAAAACAAAGCUUAGCUAGCAGUAUCCUGAGUAGGGCGGGACACGAGGAAUCCUGUCUGAAUCCGGGUCGACCACGAUCCAACCCUAAAUACUAAUACCAGAUCGAUAGUGCACAAGUACCGUGAGGGAAAGGUGAAAAGAACUGAGGUGAUCAGAGUGAAAUAGAACCUGAAACCAUUUGCUUACAAUCAUUCAGAGCACUAUGUAGCAAUACAGUGUGAUGGACUGCCUUUUGCAUAAUGAGCCUGCGAGUUGUGGUGUCUGGCAAGGUUAAGCAAACGCGAAGCCGUAGCGAAAGCGAGUCUGAAUAGGGCGCUUAGUCAGAUGCUGCAGACCCGAAACGAAGUGAUCUAUCCAUGAGCAAGUUGAAGCUAGUGUAAGAACUAGUGGAGGACUGAACCCAUAGGCGUUGAAAAGCCCCGGGAUGACUUGUGGAUAGGGGUGAAAGGCCAAUCAAACUUCGUGAUAGCUGGUUCUCUCCGAAAUAUAUUUAGGUAUAGCGUUGUGUCGUAAUAUAAGGGGGUAGAGCACUGAAUGGGCUAGGGCAUACACCAAUGUACCAAACCCUAUCAAACUCCGAAUACCUUAUAUGUAAUCACAGCAGUCAGGCGGCGAGUGAUAAAAUCCGUCGUCAAGAGGGAAACAACCCAGACUACCAG
rnacentral:rRNA from 1 species